rnacentral:rRNA from 1 species
GACGAACGCUGGCGGCGUGCUUAACACAUGCAAGUCGAACGGAAAGGCCCUUCUUUUGUGGGGUGCUCGAGUGGCGAACGGGUGAGUAACACGGGAGUAACCUGCCCUUGACUUUGGGAUAACUUCAGGAAACUGGGGCUAAUACCGGAUAGGAGCUCCUGCUGCAUGGCGGGGGUUGGAAAGUUUCGGCGGGUUGGGAUGGACUCGCGGCUUAUCAGCUUGUUGGUGGGGUAGUGGCUUACCAAGGCAUUGACGGGUAGCCGGCCUGAGCGGGUGACCGGCCACGUUGGGACUGAGAUACGGCCCAGACUCCUACGGGAGGCAGCAGUGGGGAAUAUUGCACAAUGGGCGGAAGCCUGAUGCAGCAACGCCGCGUGCGGGAUAACGGCCUUCGGGUUGUAAACCGCUUUCGCCUGUGACGAAGAGUGAGUGACGGUAAUGGGUUAAGAAGCACCGGCUAACUACGUG